rnacentral:lncRNA from 1 species
CUGACAAUGACAGGGCUUCCUGCAGCACGUGUGUGUGUGCAUGUGUGUGUGUGCAUGUGUGUGUGUGCGUGUGUGUGUGCGUGUGUGUAUGCAUGUGCACACAUGUGAGGGAGUGUGUGUAAGGGAGGGAGUGUGAGGGUGUGCAAGAGGGCUCGUGCCCUCAAAAGUAGGGACCUGUGGGCUCAAGGCUGUGUGUCCACAAGUGUAUGAGAGUGGGGUGUGUGUGUGAGCUGGUGUACACACAAGUGUGUCUAGGGUGUGUGUGUAAGUGUAGGUGUGUGCUCAAGGCUGUGUGUGUAAGGGUGUGUG